GCUCUGGUGGUGUAGCGGUAACAUCGUUCUCUUCCAUUCAAGGCUAAGAACAGCUCCGGGUUCGACUCCCGGCCAGUGCA
rnacentral:tRNA from 2 species